rnacentral:misc_RNA from 1 species
AGCAAACCAGAAGGGCUCAACCCAGGAGGAACAGUAAACAAUGGAGAAGGAGCAACCACCAAAUUCACAGGCCUACUCUGCUUAAACCCCAAAUUACUAUUAUUCCCCGCCCCAUCCUGCUUGACAGAAGAAAUACUAUUAUUGGGUACAGAAGCGUCAGUGAAAAAGGCCGGCCUAGCUAUUGGAGAACCCAUGGCGCCAGCGAGUAGCUGAGAGAAGGAGCGACAAUCUGAGUCAGGAUAAUUGUCAGAGAAGAAAGAAGAGACAAGAGUCAUGGGACCAGGACUGAG